rnacentral:rRNA from 1 species
ACAUCCACAGAACUGUCCAGAGAUGGAUUGGUGCCUUCGGGAACUGUGAGACAGGUGCUGCAUGGGCUGUCGUCAGCUCGUGUUGUGAAAUGUUGGGUUAAGUCCCGCAACGAGCGCAACCCUUAUCUUUUGUUGCCAGCGGUCCGGCCGGGAACUCAAAGGAGACUGCCAGUGAUAAACUGGAGGAAGGUGGGGAUGACGUCAAGUCAUCAUGGCCCUUACGACCAGGGCUACACACGUGCUACAAUGGCGCAUACAAAGAGAAGCGACCUCGCGAGAGCAAGCGGGCCUCAUAAAGUGCGUCGUAGUCCGGAUUGGAGUCUGCAACUCGACUCCAUGAAGUCGGAAUCGCUAGU